CCCACAUUGUUAUUUUCAUUUGGUAGCCUGGGAAACAGCACAGAGGAGUUAAGUAACUUGUCCAAGGGCACAAAGCUGGUGUCAGACUUUGCCUCCCUAGAAUGAUGGGGUGGUCAGACAUCUCUACCCAUGCCAAGGAGCUAGGCCUUCAGAGCUUUGGGUUCUACUGAAAGAAGAAAGAAGAAGAAAAACUAGAAAUUGUAAGUCUGCAGCAGAGUGAGGCUGGUCAUGGAGCUCGCCCACUGCUUCCUCUGCCAGGACGAUUCACCCAAUGAGGGCUAUAAGGGGAUACUUAUUUUUCUGGUCCUGAUUAUUCCCUGGCAGAGUGGUAAUACCAGAUCAGGACAAUUUUGUACUCUGUAAAGAUUAAGGACACCUUUUUUCUACUGAAACAGGUUGCUUUCAACUUAAAAGUUUGGUUGAUAUAACGUACCGGUAGUCAUGGUGGGGAGUUCCUGGGGAUCAAAUCUAGGGCCUCCUGCAUGCUAAACAUGUACCCUACCACUGAACUACAGCCCCAGGUCAGUUGGCAUAUAUUUGAAACUGGUGGGAAUCAUACAGCUAUGUCACUGUUGGCCUUGAGGUUUCCAGAAGGUGUUUUGCAUGUGUGUAAAUCUUACCUUCCUUUUCUAGAAUGCUGGCCCAGCCUGUUGCAGACCACAGCAACUACUCAUUCACUGACAGUCAGUGAUUUACUAGAUCCUGUGCUGGUCCCGUCCUCGUGGAGCUUGCAGUCUCGCUGGGAGGCAGACAUUAAACUAAUAAUUACACAAAUACUCUUUAAUUACAGUUGUUAUAAAUGCUUCAAAGGAGAAAGUUCAGAGGCAGAGGAACAAA
rnacentral:lncRNA from 1 species